AUGGAGGAGGCCGAUUCGGCGGCGAAGCAGUUGGGGUUAGCGGAGGCGGCGGCGGUGGCGGCGGCAGCCGCAGUACGGGCGGCUGCGGACGGCCCCGAGCAGCAGCAGCAGCCUCCGCAAGCGGCGGCCGCGCAGUCGGAGGCGGCCGCGCAGGUGACGGCGGUGACGGUGAUGGCGGCGGAUACCGAACACAUCGACAUGGGGGCCGAGCCGCUGCCCAGCGCCGACGAGGCCGCCGCCACCUUCGCAGAAGUCACCACAGUGACCGUGGCCAGCGUUGGUGCCUCUGCAGACAACGUGUUCACCACGUCCGUGGCCAAUGCAGCUUCCAUUUCGGGACACGUGUUGUCUGGGAGAACAGCCCUGCAGAUUGGGGACAGCUUGAACCCUGAAAAAGCCACUCUCAUCGUGGUGCACACGGAUGGCAGCAUUGUAGACACCACGGGGCUGAAGGGGCCCUCGGCACCUCUCACACCAGGACCUCAAUCUUCUCCUACCCCUCUAACAUCUGUCCAAGAGAAAACUGGAACCAAGUACAACUGGGACCCGUCUGUGUACGAGAAUGAGCUCCCGGUGAGGUGCCGGAACAUCAGUGGCAUCCUCUAUAAGAACAGACUUGGCUCAGGAGGCCGUGGUAGGUGCAUUAAACAAGGAGACAACUGGUACAGCCCUACCGAGUUUGAAGCUAUGGCAGGACGAGCCAGCAGCAAAGACUGGAAGAGGAGCAUCCGCUAUGCUGGGAGGCCACUGCAGUGCCUUAUCCACGAUGGGAUUUUAAAUCCUCAUGCUGCCUCUUGUACUUGUGCUGCUUGCUGCGACGACAUGACUCUGAGUGGUCCUGUUCGACUCUUUGUGCCAUAUAAAAGGAGGAAAAAAGAGAAUGAAAUGCCUACAGCUCCAGCAAAGAAGGAUUGCUCCAAAAACAUCACCCUGCUCCCUGCCACAGCUGCUACUACAUUCACGGUGACUCCCUCUGGACAGAUCACGACCUCAGGAGCUCUGACCUUCGAUCGCACAUCAACAGUGGAGGCCACAGCCAUUAUCUCGGAGAGCACAUCCCAGGGGGAUGUUUUCACUGGAGCCACUGUUCAGGAUGCCAACGGCCAGCAGCCAUGCAGGGUCAGUCACCCAGAGCCUCACUACCCCAGUUACCAGGACAACUGCCAGAUCUCACCUUUUCCUGAAGCUGCGUUGCCAACGUCUCAUCCCAAGAUUGUGCUAACCUCGCUCCCUGCCCUGGCAGUGCCCCCCAGCACUCCCACCAAAGCCAUAUCCCCCUCGGUGGUGAACGGCCUGGAGGUGACGGAGCAGCGGAGCUGGCUCUACCUGGAGGAGAUGGUCAAUUCCCUGCUGCACACAGCCCAGCAGCUGAAGACGCUGAUCGAGCAGGCCAAGCAGGCCAGCUCCUCCUUCCGGGAAGCUGCAGUCACACAGGCCAAAAUCCAAGCUGAUGUGGACAGGAAGGAGCAGUACCAGAACCAGUUAUUUCAACAACCAGAAGAUGUGGAUGGGAAGACAGAAAUCAUCAUCAAGGUGAGCUGGGGGUGUCCUGUGUCUUUGCUCUUUGGCUUGGCCCUUUCUGCUGGCCUGAAUCCCGGUGUACACCGGGAGCACCAGCACAGCUCCAUGGCACCAUUAACUGUAGGUACAUCAGGGAGGUGCUGUCAGGGCUUGGUUGUGCUCAGAGAGAAGGAGCUGCUGGAACUAAAGACACCAAAGGCUUUAGCAGCCUGUCAGCGGCUCCCAGCACAGCUCCAACGUGCUAAUGAUGUGUCAGGAUUUAAUGAGCUGGAAGCAGAGUCCUCUCUGAAGUGCUGUUUCCUGGGGUAGUUCAAUGGUGUUUCCAGCCAACAGUCAGGUUAUGUUAAUUGCUGUCACUGAGACAGAUGAAAGCAAUAGACACAAACAGCCUUUAGAAACCAGGUGGGAGUUUUAGUCCAUGUAUCUUGUCUGGCCUCACUUCAAGUCCCUGCUCCUGUUACAGCUUUCUUAGUUUUACUCCAUCUCCUGUUUCCCUGUUGGGACACAGUUUAUGGGGCCUGGUGCAGGGACACAGAUCCCUUCCUCCUCCCUAGAAAGGAUUAAACUGAAGGGCCCCAUCCUUCCUCCUGCUCCCGUUGUCCUACCUCAGACCCUCUCGCAGGCAUACGCAGGUUUAUAAACCAACCCUGUCAAAGCUCACGUUUGAGCUGAGCUCAGAGCUUUGGGGACCCCUCUGGUGUUGUCCUCUCUGACAUGGUCACUUUGCUGCCUGUUCACAGCAAUCCUGUGUCAACUGCGGCCGGGAGGCGACCAACGAGUGCACAGGAUGCCACAAAGUCAACUACUGCUCCACGUACUGCCAGAGGAAGGACUGGAAGGACCAUCAGCACAUCUGUGGGCAGGCAGCUGCAGUGCAGGCUGAGGAUG